UAAGUUAAGUAGUGUGAUGGUAUGUCGC
rnacentral:ncRNA from 2 species